UAAAGUAAAAAUUAAUAAUAAAAUAAAUAUGAAAAAUAUUUUUAAUAGAAUAUGUUUAGUGAAGUUAAAGUAUUUUAAAUAAAAAAAAUUAAAAAAUUUAUAGUAAAAUAGUAUUGUAAAAGAAAUUUGAAAAAUAAUAAAAAAAAGUUAUGGGAAAGUAAAUUUAAUUUAUUGUAUCUUGUGUAUCAGAGUUUAUUAAAAAAAAAUUUUGGUAAAAAUUAUUUCGAAUUUAAAAGAGCUAAUCAAUUAAUAAAGUUAAUAUAAUAUAAUUAUUUUUAAUAGUUGAUUGGAGGUGAAAAGUUAAUCGUUUUUAAUAAUAUCUAAUUUUUUUGGAAAAAAAUUUAAUUUUAAAUUAAAUUUUAAUUUUUUUAUUAAUUAUUAAAUAAGAAAAUAAAUUAAUUAAAUAUUUUAAGGGAUAAGCUUUAAAUUAAAAUAUUAUAAUAAAUUUAUAUUAUAAUUGAAGUUUUUAAAAAUUAUAUUUUUUAAAAAUUAUAGUUUUUUAUAAAUAAUUUCAAUUAUUUAUAAUUUUAAUAUUUAUUUAAUUUUCUACAAAAAUAUAAUUUUUAAUUUAGUAAAAUUAGUAAUAAUGAUAAAAUUAGUAUAAAAUUAUAUGAAAUAAAAUAAUUAACAAAAAAAAAUUAAUUAGAAGGAAUUCGGCAAAAAUUUAUAUUCACUUGUUUAUCAAAAACAUGUCUUUUUGUUAAUAAUUUAAAGUCUAAUCUGCCCACUGAUAUAAAUUUUUUUUAACGGGCUGCCGGAUAUUGACUGUACAAAGGUAGCAUAAUCAAUAGUCUUUUAAUUGAAGACUUGUAUGAAUGAUUUGAUGAGAUAUAAACUGUCUUUUUUUUAAUUAUAGAAUUUAAUUUUUUAGUUAAAAAGCUAAAAUUUUUUUAAAAGACGAGAAGACCCUAUAGAGUUUAAUUUUUUGAUUUUUAUUAAUAUUUUAAAAAAAUUAUAAUUAAUAAAAAUUAAAAAAUUUUGUUGGGGUGAUAGAAAAAUUUAUAAAACUUUUUUUAAAAAAUUAACAUUGAUUUAUGAUUUAUUGAUCCAUAAAUUAUGAUUAAAAGGUUAAAUUACCUUAGGGAUAACAGCGUAAUUUUUUUUUUUAGUUCAAAUAAAAAUUAAAGUUUGCGACCUCGAUGUUGGAUUAAGAUAAAAUUUAAAUACAAAAGUUUAAAAUUUUGAUCUGUUCGAUCAUUAAAAUCUUACAUGAUCUGAGUUCAAACCGGUGUGAGCCAGGUUGGUUUCUAUCUUUAAAAAAAUAAAAUAAUUUAGUACGAAAGGAUCAAUUAUUUUGAAUAGUUUAAUGUUAAUUGAAUAUUAUUAAUUUCUUUUU
rnacentral:rRNA from 1 species